rnacentral:misc_RNA from 1 species
CAUCAGGAUGCUCAAAAAACUUCUUAUCUGAAGAAACACUGGGCUCUCGGUUCAAUGGCAUUUCAGGCCGUGAAACAGACAUUCUCGAAGAGAACUCACUUUGGGUGUUUUCAUCAAUGUUAGAAGCUAAUGGUGUACCCAAACUAGGAAAUUGACCACUUUCAUUAGCAUCACUCUCCGUCUCUUCAACAAUUGAAUGGGGUGAACUCUGCUCAACUAUAACAGGGGCAGGCUGCUGUAAAUUAUCAUCAGGUUGAGGAAAAGGCAAUUUAUCAUCAGAUUCAGACUCCUCACCAUCAAAAACUAUAUCUAUUCCCUGAAGAUCAUCAUCGAGAUCUGUUUUCAACUGCUUAGGCUUGUUUACUUUUUCUCUCUCUGUAUCAAUAAGCGGAGCUGCAUUCUUCAAUUGUUCAGAAGGCUCCCCAACUACGGCUGGCAUAGGGGUCUGGCGUUCCCUGUCUGGCCAUAAAUUCAUCCACAUGAAUUGAGGGAGGUCUUCCACCAGUAGAUCCUACUCGCUGGACUGCUAUGACAUUAGAAUUGGUACCAGCAUCAACAUUUCUUUCCCUUGCAACAUAGUCAUCCACAUGCAUUGAUGGUGGCCUGCUAGUAUUUGGCUUUCGUUGCCUAAAAGUGUCCCUGCGAGUUGGGGCGGAAGAAGCAGUAGAUGGACCCAACCCCCGUGAAAAUGCAUUUUGACCUGUGACCUCCGCCACUGAAUUUUCUCCUUUAACACGCUUACCAGCACUAUCUAGGGAUGACAAUUUCCUUUUGCUAGGAAUAGACUGUGACAAUCUAUCAGGUAACAUUUCUGGACAUUCCCACAGAAACUUCUCCCCAAGGUCCCCAAGGUAAAGAAAAUCAUCAAACUUUCCAGCAUUGGUAUCUGAUAUCUGAUUUAUUUUUGGAGAAACCAUGACAUCAUUUUGUGACAA